UUGCAGCCAGAUCAUGCUGAAACACCUGUUCUUGUAUGAUCACCAGAGUUAAGCAAUGUCAAGCCUGGUCUGUACCUAGAUGAGUGACUGCUUGGGAAUACCAGGUGCUGUAAG
rnacentral:rRNA from 1 species